GUAGCAAUACAGGAAAAAGUCUAGUGGCGAACGGGUGCGUAACACGUGAGCAACCUGCCGUGAAGUGGGGGAUAGCUCGCCGAAAGGCGAAUUAAUACCGCAUGUGGCCAAGGAAGACAUCUUCCUGACGCCAAAGCCGGGGUAACCUGGCGCUUCUCGAGGGGCUCGCGGCCAAUCAGCUUGUUGGUGAGGUAACGGCUCACCAAGGCUAUGACGGGUAGCUGGUCUGAGAGGACGACCAGCCACACUGGAACUGAGACACGGUCCAGACACCUACGGGUGGCAGCAGUCGUGAAUUUUUCACAAUGGGGGAAACCCUGAUGGAGCGACGCCGCGUGGAGGAUGAAGGUUUUCGGAUUGUAAACUCCUGUCAUUAGAGAACAAGGCACAUGGUUUAACUGGCCGUGUGUUGAUAGUAUCUGAAGAGGAAGGACGGCUAACUCUGUGCCAGCAGCCGCGGUAAUACAGAGGUCUCAAGCGUUGUUCGGAUUCAUUGGGCGUAAAGGGUGCGUAGGUGGCGAGGUAAGUCGGAUGUGAAAUCUCCAAGCUCAACUUGGAAACUGCAUUCGAUACUGCUUUGCUAGAGGAUUGUAAAGGGCAUUGGAAUUCACGGUGUAGCAGUGAAAUGCGUAGAUAUCGUGAGGAAGACCAGUGGCGAAGGCGAAUGCCUGGGCAAUUCCUGACACUGAGGCACGAAGGC
rnacentral:rRNA from 1 species